CCUACGGGGUGCUGCAGUGAGGAAUAUUGGUCAAUGGGCGCAAGCCUGAACCAGCCAAGUCGCGUGAGGGAUGACGGUCCUAUGGAUUGUAAACCUCUUUUGUCGGGGAGCAAGGCCCGCCACGUGUGGCGGGAAGGAGAGUACCCGAAGAAAAAGCAUCGGCUAACUACGUGCCAGCAGCCGCGGUAAUACGUAGGGGGCAAGCGUUAUCCGGAUUUCCUGGGUGUAAAGGGAGCGUAGACGGUUAAUCAAGUCAGAAGUGAAAACCCAGGGCUCAACCGUGGGACUGCUUUUGAAACUGAGUAGCUAGAGGGCAGGAGAGGUGAGCGGAAUUCCUAGUGUAGCGGUGAAAUGCGUAGAUAUUAGGAGGAACACCAGUGGCGAAGGCGGCUUACUGGACUGUAACUGACGUUGAGGCUCGAAAGCGUGGGGAGCAAACAGGAUUAGAUACCCGUGUAGUC
rnacentral:rRNA from 1 species